GAUGAACGCUGGCGGCGUGCCUAAUACAUGCAAGUCGAGCGAACAGACGAGGUGCUUGCUCCUCUGAUGUUAGCGGCGGACGGGUGAGUAACACGUGGAUAACCUACCUAUAAGACUGGGAUAACUUCCGGAAACCGGAGCUAAUACCGAAUAAUAUAUUGAACCGCAUGGUUCCAUAGUUAAAGACGGUUUUGCUGUCACUUAUAGAUGGAUCCGCGCCGCAUUAGCUAGUUGGUAAGGUAACGGCUUACCAAGGCAACGAUGCGUAGCCGACCUGAGAGGGUGAUCGGCCACACUGGACCUGAGCCACGGUCCAGACUACUACGGGAGGCAGCGGUAGGGAAUCUUCCGCAAGGGGCGGAAGCCUGACGGAGCAACGCCGCGUGAGUGAUGAAAGUCUUCGGAUCGUAAAACUCUGUUAUUAGGAAAGAACAAAUGUGUAAGUAACUAUGCACGUCUUGACGGUACCUAAUCAGAAAGCCACGGCUAACUACGUG
rnacentral:rRNA from 1 species